rnacentral:precursor_RNA from 15 species
UUGAUAUGAGCACUUUUCCUGAUCGUUAUCGUGUUUGGAAUGGUCUCGUUAGCUAACGGAUGAGCAAGUGCUCGGCUCACUGGCCCAAAUGCAGUUUGCCCGGAGACGCCGGUUAACCCAGCACUGAAAUGUGUAGUUUCGAGACCACUCUAAUCCAUUGCAGCAUUUUCAACAAUAUGCAAAUUCAUC